GGACUCUCAAGAGUCUCCUCCAGCACCAUAAUUCAAAAGCAUCAAUUCUUCAGCUAUCAGCCUUCUUUAUGGUCCAGCUCUCACAAAAAGAAGGCUGAUUGCCGAAGAAUUGAUGCUUUUGAAUUAUGGUGCUGGAGGAGACUCUUGUUUACAU